rfam:Thermoanaerobacterales bacterium 50_218 S_scaffold_146, whole genome shotgun sequence.
AAAGUCCGGCCAGGGGAAGAACCGGGUCACCCCUGUAGGAACCACCCGUCGUAUGGAGCAAUCCAUGCAGCGAAGCGGUGUCAUUCCGACCCGGCAGUCCGUAGCAUUAAGCGAAUCCUGCCGCGUCGUAAUGUCGCAAAGCAGAGGGUGCCGAGCCCGGUAGGUGAGGGCGAAGGCGAGAGAAGGUGCGUAGACCUGGGAAUGCAGCACCGAGGAACCCUCCGGCGUAAGGGGAGCG